CGAACGCUGGCGGCGUGCCUAAUACAUGCAAGUCGAACGCACUCUCGUUUAGAUUGAAGGAGCUUGCUCCUGAUUGAUAAACAUUUGAGUGAGUGGCGGACGGGUGAGUAACACGUGGGUAACCUGCCCUAAAGUGGGGAUAACAUUUGGAAACAGAUGCUAAUACCGCAUAAAACCUAACACCGCAUGGUGUAGGGUUGAAAGAUGGUUUCGGCUAUCACUUUAGGAUGGACCCGCGGUGCAUUAGUUAGUUGGUGAGGUAAAGGCUCACCAAGACCGUGAUGUAUAGCCGACCUGAGAGGGUAAUCGGCCACACUGGGACUGAGACACGGCCCAGACUCCUACGGGAGGCAGCAGUAGGGAAUCUUCCACAAUGGACGAAAGUCUGAUGGAGCAACGCCGCGUGAGUGAAGAAGGUUUUCGGAUCGUAAAACUCUGUUGUUGGAGAAGAAUGUAUCUGAUAGUAACUGAUCAGGUAGUGACGGUAUCCAACCAGAAAGCCACGGCUAACUACGUG
rnacentral:rRNA from 1 species